CUUAAAAAAUUGUGAUUGUGAAAGUACUUAAUACUUCUUCACUAUAAAUGUAGGUUUCACGUUUGAAGAUCCAUUUAUUAAAAAAUUGUGAAAUAGAAUGUGAUGGAUUUACUGUCUCUAUAUACCAAGAAUGCACCCAGCAACCAAAUUCGUAAGUCAUUUUCCAUUUAAAAUAUGAAUUUACUCUUAUUUAAUGAUAUUUAUCUAUCUUUGUAUGGUAUUAGCAGGGUUGAUUGUGGUGUCUACUUAAUGAAAUUUAUGGAAUGUCUUUCCCGUGGAGAUAUAUUUGAUUUCAACUCGGGGCCAAUGAAUUUUGAACGAAAAAAGUUGGUUGCACAACUCAUGCUGGGCAAAAUGAUUACACCACAGUAAUGUGACAUGUAAAGGCCAAAAUUCUCCUUUAUCAGUGAAAGCAUUGGGGCUGCCUGUCAUAUGAUUGCU